UACGUAGGGGGCAAGCGUUGUCCGGAUUUAUUGGGCGUAAAGCGCGUGUAGGUGGCCAAGUAGGUCCGCUGUGAAAACUCGAGGCUCAACCUCGAGAUGUCGGCGGAAACCACUUGGCUAGAGUCCGGAAGAGGAGAGUGGAAUUCCUGGUGUAGCGGUGAAAUGCGCAGAUAUCAGGAAGAACACCCGUGGCUAAGGCGGCUCUCUAGUACGGUACUGACGCUGAGACGCGAAAGCGUGGGGAGCGAACAGG
rnacentral:rRNA from 1 species